ACGAGACCUUCGGGUCUAGUGGCGCACGGGUGCGUAACGCGUGGGAAUCUGCCCUUAGGUACGGAAUAACUCAGAGAAAUUUGUGCUAAUACCGUAUGAUGUCGAAAGACCAAAGAUUUAUCGCCUAAGGAUGAGCCCGCGUAAGAUUAGCUUGUUGGUGAGGUAAAAGCUCACCAAGGCGACGAUCUUUAGCUGGUCUGAGAGGAUGAUCAGCCACACUGGGACUGAGACACGGCCCAGACUCCUACGGGAGGCAGCAGUGGGGAAUAUUGGACAAUGGGCGAAAGCCUGAUCCAGCAAUGCCGCGUGAGUGAUGAAGGCCUUAGGGUUGUAAAGCUCUUUUACCAGGGAUGAUAAUGACAGUACCUGGAGAAUAAGCUCCGGCUAACUCCGUGCCAGCAGCCGCGGUAAUACGGAGGGAGCUAGCGUUGUUCGGAAUCACUGGGCGUAAAGGGAGCGUAGGCGGUUUGGUAAGUCAGAUGUGAAAUCCCGGGGCUCAACCCCGGAACUGCAUCCGAUACUGCCAGACUUGAGCAAUGGAGAGGUAGCUGGAAUUAUCGGUGUAGCAGUGAAAUGCGUAGAUAUCGAUAGGAACACUCGUGGCGAAAGCGAGCUACUGGACAUUUGCUGACGCUGAGGCUCGAAGGCUAGGGGAGCGAAAGGGAUUAGAUACCCCUGUAGUCCUAGCAGUAAACGGUGCACGCUUGGUGUGAGGGGAAUCGACCCCCCUUGUGCCGGAGCUAACGCGUUA
rnacentral:rRNA from 1 species